rnacentral:tRNA from 1 species
GCACCCGUAGCUCAAUCGGACUAGAGCGUCUGCCCUGUAAGCAGAGGGUUGUCAGUUCAAAUCUGACCGGGUGCUCCA